GCAAGUCGAACGCGAAAGGGACUUCGGUCCUGAGUAAAGUGGCGCACGGGUGAGUAACGCGUAGAUAACCUGUCUUCAUGUCUGGAAUAAUACGCCAAAGGGGUACUAAUACCGGAUAUCUUGCUUUUCAUAAGUUAUGCAAGCAAAGGUGGCCUCUGCAUAUGCUACUGCAUGAAGAGGGGUCUGCGUACCAUUAGCUAGUAGGUGGGGUAAUGGCCUACCUAGGCGACGAUGGUUAGCGGGUCUGAGAGGAUGAUCCGCCACACUGGCACUGGAACACGGGCCAGACUCCUACGGGAGGCAGCAGUGAGGAAUAUUGCGCAAUGGGGGAAACCCUGACGCAGCGACGCCGCGUGAGUGAGGAAGGCCUUCGGGUCGUAAAGCUCUGUCAAGAGGAAAGAAGUGUACAAUGGCUAAUACCUGUUGUAUUUGACGGUACCUCUAAAGGAAGCACCGGCUAACUCCGUGCCAGCCGCCGC
rnacentral:rRNA from 1 species